rnacentral:rRNA from 1 species
AACGAACGCUGGCGGCAGGCUUAACACAUGCAAGUCGAACGCCCCGCAAGGGGAGUGGCAGACGGGUGAGUAACGCGUGGGAACAUACCCUUUCCUGCGGAAUAGCUCUGGGAAACUGGAAUUAAUACCGCAUAAGCCCUACGGGGGAAAGAUUUAUUGGGGAAGGAUUGGCCCGCGUUGGAUUAGCUAGUUGGUGGGGUAAAGGCCUACCAAGGCGACGAUCCAUAGCUGGUCUGGGAGGAUGAUCAGCCACAUUGGGACUGAAACACGGCCCAAACUCCUACGGGAGGCAGCAGUGGGGAAUAUUGGACAAUGGGCGCAAGCCUGAUCCAGCCAUGCCGCGUGAGUGAUGAAGGCCUUAGGGUUGUAAAGCUCUUUCACCGAUGAAGGUAAUGACGGUAGUCGGAGAAGAAGCCCCGGCUAACUUCGUGCCAGCCGCCGCGGUAACAC